UACGAAGGGGGCUAGCGUUGCUCGGAAUCACUGGGCGUAAAGGGUGCGUAGGCGGGUUCUUAAGUCAGAGGUGAAAUCCUGGAGCUCAACUCCAGAACUGCCUUUGAUACUGAGAGUCUUGAGUACGGGAGAGGUGAGUGGAACUGCGAGUGUAGAGGUGAAAUUCGUAGAUAUUCGCAAGAACACCCGUGGCGAAGGCGGCUCUCUGGAACGCAACUGACGCUGAGACGCGAAAGCGUGGGGAGCAAACAGG
rnacentral:rRNA from 1 species